rnacentral:rRNA from 1 species
AUUGAACGCUGGCGGCAGGCCUAACACAUGCAAGUCGAGCGGAUGAGUGGAGCUUGCUCCAUGAUUCAGCGGCGGACGGGUGAGUAAUGCCUAGGAAUCUGCCUGGUAGUGGGGGACAACGUUUCGAAAGGAACGCUAAUACCGCAUACGUCCUACGGGAGAAAGCAGGGGACCUUCGGGCCUUGCGCUAUCAGAUGAGCCUAGGUCGGAUUAGCUAGUAGGUGAGGUAAUGGCUCACCUAGGCGACGAUCCGUAACUGGUCUGAGAGGAUGAUCAGUCACACUGGAACUGAGACACGGUCCAGACUCCUACGGGAGGCAGCAGUGGGGAAUAUUGGACAAUGGGCGGAAAGACCUGAUCCAGCCACUGCCGCGUGUGUGAAGAAGGUAC